GGAGCCCUCCCGAGGACCUGGAUGGGAGUUGCCCAGCCAGAAGUGCAUGUAGACAGCCCCCCCUCUGGAAAGCCACCCAGCCACAGCAGCAGGAUGGCCUGGAGGACAGGGAGGUACAACAGCCAGAAAACCAAGGGCAGGGUUUCUCUCUGAGGUGCUCUGAGGGACUCAAUGACACAUCUGUGCAGGUGAGUGCCAAGAAUAGAAUGGGAUGGUCUGAGACAGGAUGGGACAGGGGCACAAGCCUCUCCUGGUUGUCUGACUGCCCAUCACCACAGGUGACAGGGAAGUUCAUGGAGGGUAUCUUGAAUAUGUAGGUAAUGAAGGAGCAGCUAGAAGCCCAAGCUCCAAUCAUCAAACCAGUGGCCUUGAUCAGGGAACGGGAGCAUGAAAAUGCCACCAACACAGAGCUGUCCAAGGAAGAGGAAUGGGAAGACGCCAUAGACACAGAGGUCUCAGAGGAAGAAGAAUGGGAAGAUGCCAUUGAUGCUGAGGUGUCAGAGGAGGAGGAAUGGCAAGAUACAAUAAGCACAGAGAUGUCUCAAGGAACAGGUGCUGUUGGGUCACCUUCUGUCCACCACCGGGUCAGUUCCUUGGGUCUGGAGGACAACUCUAAUCCCAGGGAGAGUCCCAACUUCCCCAGCAAUGUGGGCAGAGAGGCUUCAGGAGACACAGUUGACAAACUGCUGAGAGCAAUUCCUGGCCCAGCAGAUUCCCAGCUGGCUAAUUCUGCCCUGCUUGUAGCUCCUGAGGAAGAGGAGCACCAUACACCUCUCAAACAUGAGGAGGCAGAGCCACCAGCUUCUUCUUCCCCUGUAGAGGCUGCAAGAGCAGCAGGGGCAGAGAACCAGGCACCUGCUCCACAUGGUCCCAUAGCCAAUGGCCCAGCUCAGGUGGACAUAGCCCAGUCCAUGGAGGCUGAGGGCCUGGACAAGGCUGUGCGUAUAGUCCAAGGACUUGAUGAGCCACAAAGAGAAAUGUGGGGCCAGGAACAAAGCAAGAACAAGGUGACAGAAGACAAAGUCAAAGCAGAAGGAACAGAGAAUCUGGAAGCUGGCCUGCAGA
rnacentral:lncRNA from 1 species